GAAAAGGCAGAUGUCUAAAUAAAGCCGGCCAACGCCUCGAGCCAACACUAGCCAACACAAACUUUGCAUGAAGCGGAACUCGCCAUGAACAUCCAUUGGAACUAUGAGAAAUAAUGAGAAGGGCGUGCAGCUACCAUUCUUGUGCAUUGGUCAAUUGCCACUAGAAAUGACUGUGUUUGGCGCACACCUUCGCUCUUCUUUUUCAACUCGGCAAAGUCCACAUGCACUACUUAGAAAGGCAAGAACGUGUGCGUGCUGUGGCCUCAAGAGCCGUCUCGGGGAUUACAGCGCGGUGGCUGCGAAUUCCGUUGGCAAGCGUCGUUGUCG
rnacentral:lncRNA from 1 species